AUGCUGCGCCACUGUUGCCUGGUUCCAGAUCUAAAGCUUGGAUUUUGCGCGGCGGACCAACACCGCAUCCAUCCCCAAGUGCCCCUGGCCAUGGCGGCCGUCGUUCAUGUCCACCUCCACUACCAUUACGUCCUCCCUCCUCCGUCCGUUGCCUCGCUGACCCGGCCUCUUCACCUUGCCAUGGCGCUCCCCACACACCGCGCUCCUGCCUGCCCGCCUCCGCGCCCCCCUCCCCGCGUGCACCUGCCCCUCGCCGUCACUAGCACAGAUGAGCGGGAGGCAAAUGAGGAGUUUGUGGUGGCCACAUACAAGCUGGUGCCCGUCGACGACCCCCGCGCACAACUCCACUUCUCCCAGGUUAGGAAGAUUACUUGGAUGCUUUUCAGGCUUCUCCAGCAUUGA
rnacentral:rRNA from 1 species